rnacentral:rRNA from 1 species
UACGUAGGGUGCGAGCGUUUGUCCGGAAUUAUUGGGCGUAAAGAGCUCGUAGGCGGUGUGUCACGUCGGCCGUGAAAACCUGGGGCUCAACUCUGGGCGUGCGGUCGAUACGGGCAUCACUGGAGUUCGGCAGGGGAGACUGGGAAUUCCUGGUGUAGCGGUGAAAUGCGCAGAUAUCAGGAGGAACACCGAUGGCGAAGGCAGGUCUCUGGGCAUUAACUGACGCUGGAGGAGCGAAAAGCGUGGGGAGCGAAACAGG